CUAAGAUUAAUAUUUAGGCAAUAACUCUUUUUGAACUAUUUAUAGCCAAUAUAAUUUUUUUUUUAAUUUUGUAAGUUAUUUUUCAGUAGAAAUUAAACCAAAUCUAUACUAACUUAAUGAUAACAAGAUGAAUUAUUGAGGGACUCUCAUUAGUAAAUAGUUGUGAUAUUCUAGAUUAUAAUAUAUUUUGUUAGACAUUAAUUUAUUAAAGUAUCGCUAUAGGUAGUUCUUAGAUUGUGAAUUAUAAGGUAGGUAUAAUACUAUUUAUUAAAUAUCAUGUUUAUUAUUCUAUAUAGUUCCAGAAUUCCGGAAUAACAUGAUGAACUUUGGUAAGUAUAUCUCAUGUUGAUUGUCACAUUUUUACUGUCCCUUCUCGUUAAAUGCCCCAGAUGACAAAUCAAAUAUUUUUGUUAACUUAUAUCCUGUAUUGAAGGGAUGUGUAUUGAAAAUUUGAAUGUGUUGUAUAUAGCACUGCUAACGCAUGACGCGUAUGACGUUUGAAACUUCCCAAUUUUACCUUAUACCUGAUAUUACAAACGUAUAACUUUGUGAAUGAUUUCCUAAAGAAUACACAUUUUCAUAAUUCCAUAUAACUAGUUGUUAUAUUAUGUUCCUUCAGAAUAAUAUUAUCUUCCUCAGGCGCGGAUCCAGAAAAAAUUUAUGGUGGGGGGGGGGGGCGGCAUCAAAUAUUAUUAAUAGAGUUUAUCAGGGUUUCAUCUGUUAAUAUUUUUUGACAUCAGGAUAAUGAUGAUUAGGUUACCUUUAAGUAGACCAAAAAAUAAUAAAACAAAAAUUUUUUUUUUAAAUAUUUAGGUUACUCAAUUUUACUUUAUUGUUUAUAAAAUAUUUAAUUACAUUACUUUUUCUACAUUUAAGCUACAUUUUACUAUAAUUAAUAAUUUACGAUAAAUUCUAAUCAAAUGUACAACUUAAAAUUAUAGCUUAAUUUUCUUAUUACUUAUGGCUUUCAAAUGGAAUUUUUCUUUUGCUUUUGGAGAAACGUUCAAUUAAUUUUUCCACAUAGAUGUCUAUGUUCCUGUGGAUGUU